AAGUCGGUGCUGAUGGAUAUUUUCUCUACAUGCAACUAGCACAUGACGACAGAGGAGACAUGUCACUGAGGGGAAGUGAUCCACAGGAAGUAAACACCACAUUGCACUUUUACUAAGAACCGAGAAUCAGAGAAGAGAAAGAAGAAGAAUGGAUGAAAUCAAACGGAUUAAAAUGUCUUUACAUCUGCUACUGGUGCUGAUUCCAUUUACAGGGGAGAGCUAUCGGGAGAAGAAGGCACAUGGAUGCUGCUUCAGGUCGGAAGUGGUUCGCUGAGAGAGAACCGCCCCCACCCCGGAGUCAGAGGCAUCCACCUCCACUACGAACUGAGCAAAAGGUGCUCGCUGUCCAAUAUUCCUCCAUCAUCAUCACAGCUGGAGCUGAAGUCACUUUGUCUUGUGACAAGAUGAGAGAUGAUCAUGUGAACUGUGGAGCUACUGACUGGCUCUUCGUUGAUUCAGAGGGAACUGCACCAGUAAAAUUGUUUGUAAAAGGGAAGCUCGACAUAUCUAGGAUUUCCAAAUAUAAUGCAGACAGGCUGUGUCUUGCUACAAACUGUUCUCUGGUUAUUAGGGAGGUCACAGAUGAAGAUGCUGGUCGAUACGACUGCAGACAGUUUGACCUGACAAACCAAACAGAUAAAGAUCAUGUGGUUUAUCUCUCUGUUGUCAACGUGACUGAGCAGAAGAGAAGUGAUGAGGUGACGUUGAGCUGCUCUGUGUCCACAUAUAGAAGGUAUGGAAUCACAGUGAAGUGGCUGUUUAUGAAUAUGGAUGGGACUGAAAACACAACUGAACUGAAGACAUCACAGUCUUACCGCUCGGCAAAUGUGAGCUUCUCAAAAUCCCAUUUUGUUCUCAAGAUGAAGAACUAUAGCUCAUUAACAUGUAAAGUGAAUGAUGGUUACAAAGAGGAAAAGUUUUCCUUCAUCCCUCCGUCAUCAGAAGGAAAGAACGAACCAGCUCCAGGAAACAAAGUUAUGACAACAGACUGGUGGUGGUACAUUCGUCUGGUUGUGGGUUUUGCCUCGAUCGUGAUAUUGGUUGUGAUUCUCAUAAGAUGGAGAAGAAACAAGAUCCAGGGUGGUGAUGUUGCAGUGGCCUUCAGCACUGUGGAAGCUCCCUCCUCUUCUUCUGGACCCUCAGCUGAUCCCAGCAGCCUCUAUGCCAACGUCACAUUCAUACAAUAAUCCAGGGUGGUGAUGAUGUAGUGACCUUCAGCACUGUGGAAGCUCCCUCCUCUUCUACUGGACCCUCAGCUGAUCCCAGCAGCCAUGAAGAGACUCGUCCCGGUGAUUCCUCCACGGAGCAGCAGUGAAGACAGUCCCAGUUGAAGAUGGUGGGAAAGGUGAUGCAGUGACCUACAGCACUGGUUCUCAAACUGUUUUCAACAAUAUUUCUCCUUUGAAAUAUGUUUUCAUUCAAGUGCAACACAGCAUCAGUAUCAAUGUUUCUCACCAGAGCAAUAAGCUGUGUCUUUCCACUGACGUCUGUCCAUUCAUCCAGCUGCAGUGAAAAUGCUUCAACAAGUUUUUACACAACUUCAUCAACAAUGUCUGUUCCAUCGUUUCUAUUCUGCAGCAAAGUGUCAUUUGACAAAGACCCAGUUUAGAACUGAUCUGCUGUGUUUGUGUCCAGCAUCGUCUCGGUCAGUACAGCAGCAGCUGGAAGUAGCAGGUCCUCAGCUGUGGUGAAAGGCCUUUUGGCUUCAUGAGAAGCCUCCAGUGCUGUGGCUGAUGUUCUGGAGACUUUUCACAUCGUUUCUUGUGAAACUAUGAAGUCAGACUGUUUCUUCUUGAGAAACUCUGGUGUGUUACCGACAUGACACUGAUGUGUUGUGCUGAGAUGUCGCUGCAGCUGCUCUGACUUCAUGCAACUGUUCGAUAACUUUUCAAUCAGAAAAUACUCAAUGCUUUGGGCGGAUUGCAGCUCGUUGAAGUAAAUCCCAUUAAAACAUAUUCUUCAUGAUACUAACGAUAUUGUGUUGGCUUUUUUUUGUUGGCACAAUGUAUUUGUGAUCCACAGCUCGGGCCUACAUGUGUAGUCAAAAGCCUACAGCCACAUGUCCCUUUGUUCUGGUGAAAACCAGAAUCUCCAGAACUCAGUCUCCCAGGAUGCAUCAACUUCACAAAGGAGUGAAAAACGACCAGGGACACAAGUUUCAACUUCUAUUGGUCACUCUGGGCCCCAUUACCUGCAGGUCACCAGGGCCAAUAUAAGGCCAGGUCUCCCCCUCUUCAUUCUCUUUCCAUGUAACUCUGAGGAGAGAAGUCCGGCUUCUCCAUCUCACAUCUUUUCUUUCCAUUCACCUCUUCGAGAGGAGCCCACCUCUCUGUCUGAGCAAGAGGUGCAGCUUUCCUCUCACCGAGCGAGGGAAGCCUCCUCCAAUUCCAAGCUCUACCAACCUUCACACGAGGGCCUGAUGAAGAACUGCAACGGAGCUGUAUGCAGAGCAGAACCACAAAGACAGGAGACACACAACCAGCAAGACGACUUCACAGAACUUCAGACAGCACUUUCUUUUUACCUUUCCACGGACGGUAACACAACUUGGCUUAAUAAUUAUACUAGGCUUAACAAUGACUGUUUAUUCGAUUCCUUGUGAUGUUUAUAAGUUUAAUUUGUGUUGAUGUGAUAUUGUGGUUACAAGUUAUUUGAAAGUUAAUAUUAGUUAUGACCUUCAGUCUUUCAUGCAUGCAUCUAGUAACUCUCUCUAAUUUGGCACCAACACACACAGACACACGCAUACUCAUAUACAUAUC